rnacentral:pre_miRNA from 1 species
AUUCUUUUCCUUAUCCGUCCAAUAAAAGAUGUCUCAUGCUGGUCAAAAUUUGCAUGUAUCUAGACAUCACUUAGUGUAUAAAUGCAUUCAAAUUUAGUCAAAGUUGAGACGUCCUUUUUUGGACGGAGGAAAUACUUU